rnacentral:rRNA from 1 species
CCUACGGGGGGCUGCAGUGGGGAAUAUUGGACAAUGGGCGAAAGCCUGAUCCAGCCAUGCCGCGUGUGUGAAGAAGGCCUUCGGGUUGUAAAGCACUUUCAGUGGGGAAGAAAGCCUUGGGGCUAAUACCCUCGAGGAAGGACAUCACCCACAGAAGAAGCACCGGCUAACUCCGUGCCAGCAGCCGCGGUAAUACGGAGGGUGCGAGCGUUAAUCGGAAUUACUGGGCGUAAAGCGCGCGUAGGCGGUCUGAUAAGCCGGUUGUGAAAGCCCCGGGCUCAACCUGGGAACGGCAUCCGGAACUGUCAGGCUAGAGUGCAGGAGAGGGAGGUAGAAUUCCCGGUGUAGCGGUGAAAUGCGUAGAGAUCGGGAGGAAUACCAGUGGCGAAGGCGGCCUUCUGGACUGACACUGACGCUGAGGUGCGAAAGCGUGGGUAGCAAACAGGAUUAGAUACCCUGGUAGUC